rnacentral:rRNA from 1 species
UUUCGCCUACGGGAGGCAGCAGUGGGGAAUAUUGCACAAUGGGGGAAACCCUGAUGCAGCAACGCCGCGUGGGUGAAGAAGUAUUUCGGUAUGUAAAGCCCUAUCAGCAGGGAAGAGAAUGACGGUACCUGACUAAGAAGCCCCGGCUAACUACGUGCCAGCAGCCGCGGUAAUACGUAGGGGGCAAGCGUUAUCCGGAUUUACUGGGUGUAAAGGGAGCGUAGACGGUUGUGCAAGUCUGAAGUGAAAGCCCGCGGCUCAACCCCGGAACUGCUUUGGAAACUGUGCAGCUAGAGUGCGGGAGG